rnacentral:rRNA from 1 species
UACAGGGGGGGCAAGCGUUGUUCGGAAUUACUGGGCGUAAAGGGCGCGUAGGCGGCCUCUUUAGUCAGACGUGAAAUCCCCCGGCUUAACCUGGGAACUGCGUCUGAUACUGGGAGGCUAGAGUUCGGGAGAGGGAUGUAGAAUUCCAGGUGUAGCGGUGAAAUGCGUAGAUAUCUGGAGGAAUACCGGUGGCGAAGGCGGCAUCCUGGACCGAAACUGACGCUGAGGCGCGAAAGCUAGGGGAGCAAACGGG